GCGGAUGUAGCUCAGUUGGUUAGAGCGCUGGUUUGUGGAGCCGGAGGUCGUGGGUUCAAGACCCAUCAUUCGCCCCA
rnacentral:tRNA from 1 species